rnacentral:tRNA from 1 species
ACCUGGCUGGCUCAGUCGGUAGAAUAUGUGACUCUUGAUCUCAGGAUUGUGAGUUCAAGCCCCAUGUUGGGUG